rnacentral:lncRNA from 1 species
ACCAGGAGCCGUCGUUCUUUUACAAAGAGGGGUGGAGGUUCCAGUGGAGGCUGUUGUUGCCUUUUUUUUUUUUUUUUUAAUGAAUGGAGGGCGGCGGCGACUGCUGCAGCUGGGCCAGCUGCGCGGGCUGCACCCCCUCCCAGCCUGCGAGAGGAGGAAGCUAGUAGAAGAUUUGUACCAACAAAACCAAGGAGUAAACAACUUGAGAAUAACUGCAUGAGCUCAGGGCUUGGACUGUCAGAUUCCAUUUCUAAGCUUCCAGAAGAGCGACACAUAGACACUGGGGAAGUCAGAGCCUUUGAACUCCAAUGCCAUCCCCGUCACCCACCUCCACCACCAGCACCACCACCGAAUGGCACUUUGGACAAUUUUUCCCUCUCAUGUGACUUUUGUCAUUUCUUACGUCAGUUGGAGCCAGCACCUCUCAAAUCCAUCUUCUAAAACCCAGAAAAUUGUGUGUAACACAUGAUGACUGAAAGGGAGUAGGCUGACCAGUUAAGAGCCUGCCACUGGAAUGGAAGGCUGUGGGAAGGUGAGGGGACGGUGGACAUCAACCGGGAAGAGCUGAAAGAUGGCGUUACCAGGUCCAUUGGAUUCGAAGGGGUCCUCACACGAAGCAGGAAGUCACCCUGUAUCUCAGAACUGUGGAGAUCUCAGUCCGUGGUCAUCUUGUCAUACAUGACAUGGCAGGAGCCAUGGUCCAGGGAACCAGGUGGCUGCCAACUUGCAGAACAGGCGACAAAACCCCAGCCUGGACCCCCAGACCAUGCACUUCUCCCUUUGCCCUGCUUCUCCUCUGCCUGGUACAGGUUUCCAGCCAAGCUCUGCACCGGCUUCUAUGUCUGUUUGUUUUCCUUAGAAGCUUCCUAUAGAAAGCACCAGAGUGGACUACUACAUGGCCAGUAAAGAAAAGAACAAGGUGGGGCCGUGUGCGGUGGCUCAAGCCUGUAAUCCCAGCCCUUUGGGAGGCCGAGACGGCGGAUCACGAGAUCAGGAGAUGGAGACCAUCUUGGCUAACAUGGUGAAACCCCAUCUCUACUGAAAAUACAAAUUAGCCGGGUGUGGUGGCGGGCGCCUGUAGUCCCAGCUACUCGGGAGGCUGAGGCAGGAGAAGCGUGAACCCAGGAGGCGGAGGUUGCAGUGAGCCAAGAUGACACCACUGCACUCCAGCCUGGGUGACAGAGCGAGACUCCGUCUCAAAAAAAAAAAAAAAAAGAACAAGGUAGAUUAUAACAAUGGCCAACAUACAUAUAGCACUUACUGUGUACACACUAGUCUGAAAGUUCUAUGUAUUUUAGAAUAUCUGCACAUUUAUAAUAUUAACUCAUUUGAUUUUCUCAACAA